rnacentral:rRNA from 1 species
CAAUGGGCGCAAGCCUGAUCCAGCUAUUCCGCGUGUGGGAUGAAGGCCCUCUGGUUGUAAACCACUUUUGUAGAGAACGAAAAGACACCUUUUAAAAAGGGUGUUGCUGACGGUACUCUAAGAAUAAGCACCGGCUAACUACGUGCCAGCAGCCGCGGUAAUACGUAGGGUGCGAGCGUUAAUCGGAAUUACUGGGCGUAAAGGGUGCGCAGGCGGUUGAGUAAGACAGAUGUGAAAUCCCCGAGCUUAACUCGGGAAUGGCAUAUGUGACUGCUCGACUAGAGUGUGUCAGAGGGAGGUGGAAUUCCACGUGUAGCAGUGAAAUGCGUAGAUAUGUGGAAGAACACCGAUGGCGAAGGCAGCCUCCUGGGACAUAACUGACGCUCAGGCACGAAAGCGUGGGGAGCAAACAGGAUUAGAUACCCUGGUAGUCCACGCCCUAAACGAUAUAGCUAGUUGUUGGGA